UUUUCUUACCUGGACCCUGGCCAGUUCUGUCAGUCCUGAUGUCUCCAUUGCCCAGAGUGACUCUGUCUAUCUGGUUCUGGCCUUGGCACAUUAGAUUUUCUCUUUUUCUCUCUCUGUCCCUCUACUUUCCUCUUGGGUCUCUGACCUCUCUUUAUUUCUCUCUCACUCCCCCUCUAUUCAAUCUUUUCCUCUUUCAUCCCACUCUAUUUUGCUACCCAACUCCUCUUGCACAACCUUCGUUUUCCCUCUCUGAACUUUUGCAGCACUCCCAGAGGUGCUGUAGCUGAACAGCCAUAUCAGACACUCUCAGACAUAUGGAGGAAUGCUGCGCCCCAAAGCUGGGUGACUUCACCUCAACAGCAAAGUUCCAAUGAUGCAUAACUGACUGAGACGUCAUGGGGUUAAGGUUGACCGUUGAUUGGCAAUUUGACUGACUGAAAUACAACAGUGAGAAGAAAUGAGUUUUGAUCGUGCCUCCAUUCGAUGCUUCGCUGUCCGCAAUUUUUGCCAGGGGAAGCAACAAACAGAUUCACCAAGGCCAGGCAACCGGCCCAACAUAUAAACUGGAUAAACAAUGUCUCCAGGGGUAACCGAGAGGAGCAGAGGAGGCAGGGAAGUGCUGUGUUUGUUCUCUGAUUGAUGCCAUACAUAGUGCAUGAGUUCCCUAUGGGUAGAAGUUCUAUACAAGAAAGUUCAGAUAAAAAAAGAGAUGUGCUAUUGAGAUGAGGUUGAAUAAAGGUAAAAUAUCAGAAGCACUGAGUCAGAAAGAGGCAGAGACAGAGAGAGUUUCUCAUCUCAGAUAAUAAAAAUGUGAUGUUAGCUUAGAUCGAUCAGCAGGUUCAGCCAAGCAAAGGCCAGGGACAUGCCUGCUUUAAGUAGGAAAAUAAAGAGUGAAAACCAAAACAUUUUAGAUUAUACCAUCAUAUCCUUCCACAGAGGUUUGAUUCCCUCCAAUAAACACCUAUAAACCCUGGCUAUUGCAGAGCUCUCAGAGAAAAUUAAAAGACAAAAAUGCCUUCAUAAAUAUUAAUCUCUGUAAGGCAGAGGUUGUGCCCUUCACAAUUAUUCAUGCUCUCUGGAGCGCAUUUGUCAAGAGUAAACAGUAUCCUCCUGUUUACCUAAUGCAGAACAUUCGGUAGGUGAGUGGGCAUAAUUGAUGCCUUCAUAUUCUAUUCUUGAGGAUGUAAUUAAACACAGUCUGGCAUGGAACACAUUUAUCUCUUUCUUUCUUUCUUUCCUCUUCCUUCCUUCCCUCCACUCACACACACAUCCACAAAAACGUGCAGAAUACAUUUCCUCACAGGUGCACUCUCAUCUGUUUCUUCAACAGCGGUGCCUUGGUUCACACAAAAUUAAAGGUGGAAAGCGAGUUAAUUUCACAGCAUUUGGCAUAUUAUCAACACUGUGGGGCCUGCAAGGGUACUGUAGACGGCCCCUGCCUCUGUGGCUUUGUUUUUUUUUGUGGGGUGAGUAGGAGGGGUUAUAUAUUAUUAGCUGCUUGCUUAAGUGUGACGGAAUCAUUAGUGGGCAGAAAAUAAGCCAAUAAUACUUUUCUCUAUGCUUUUAUGUGCUGUUAUUGUCAAUGAAGUAUGGAUUACAAUUGUCUGGCCAACACGUCUUUUGUUUUCAUUCACAUAUAUUGCACACUAGGGAAUAUGAGGAUAAUAUGGAUAAAACCUUUUAUCGGUGAACGUAUAGAAUAGAAUAGAAUGCCUUUACUGUCAUUGCAUGACAGCACAAUGAAGCUGAUCAGUGCUAAUAGAUUAGAACAACCUCAGAUAUACAUUGUACAUUCACUCAUCCAUUCCUGCAUACAUACACCUAAAUGCACAUGUUCAUAUGUAUGUACAUUUGUGUAUAUAUAUAUGUAUAAUUGAUAUUAAUACAGUAUUGUGGUAUAUAGGAAAUUCAAUUCAUUUACAGCUAAAUCAGCCAGAUGGGAAUGUCUGUUCUUGGAUAUUCUAGCACAUGAACUAACUUCAUCCAAUAUUGUCAUAAAGCAGUCCCACUCAUUGACUUGUAACACUGUCAGUUAUUGCCUAACACAACCAGGGAAUUAUUUACGCCCAGUACCAACACUCAGUAGCAGAAAGGAAGUAGCCUGAUAAUGAAACUGAACUGCCAUUUUACUUCACUUCAUUAUUCAGUCUCACAUCCCGUUCAUGAUAGCCAUUUUCUGUUUGUGAAGGGUCUUUAUUGUGCCCUAACCAAUCACUAGUUUCAUAAGAGAGACUUUAUUUAUAGUAAAUGGUUAUAUAGUUAGCUUUGGUGGAAAAGGCUCUUCUCUUUGAGGGAACUUUCAAAGAAUUCGAGCAACAAUGAGAAUUCUGCUGGGAACAGUAUUCAUCUUGAUAAAUAUGUACACAAACACUAAGCUUUAGUUAGAUCAAUAAUACCAAAAAGAAGGGAGCUGCAGCAGCAAACAGCAUUGGCACAAGCACAUCAGCAUAGUGACAGUGAUACACCUGGCUGUGCUGUAAACCUGCACAAAUAUGAUUGGAUGUGACUGGUCAGCUGAUAGCCACACAGCUUAGCCAGUGUGUGAAGUAUGAAUGAAAUAGCUGAUGCCAAACAGCUAAUACAAGUGGGACUUCAGUGCUCUGUCUGAGCUAACGCUGUGCUCCAUUGAGUGACAUUUCUGUCCCACCAUCAUUAUUUUCAUUCAUCACGGGGGCUGCGGUAGCUGCUGCUAGAAGCAGUUAUGUUUUAUGCAUUGAUUAAAGAUGCAUGCUGAUUUAGGAGUUGUUAUUUCUGCAGUUUGUAAGGAUGGGUGUGUAGCAAAUCUAACUUUCAUGUUGGAGACCUGAGUAUACAUCUAUUCACAAACCUAGAUGAUAAAAACUUUUUUUAAAAACAGUACUGCACCAUAUGGUCUUUUUAUUCCCCCUUCCUUGUCAAGACCUGGUGCCUAUAUUACCCACAAUGCAACUCAACCGCCAACAGUACAUUCAGAGAUUCAGGUGUGUUAUGCUAGUGGCGGUUAAUGUAGCUUCCAGUCGCUAGUGUUAAGCAAAGAUAAUGAGCGGGCUACAGAGGUCUGGAAUCGAAGGCUAAGCUUUGCUCUGGUGGCAGGACUCUGGGGCGCAGCUGAUCUGCCUGUAGAUCUUACUCCCUGCACAGGUACACAAUCAUACAGCGAGAGGGAGAGCAAGCUCCAUCUGUGGAAUACUGAUGCAGGAGCAGGGCAUCUACAAGACAAGCGGCUCGACGAACAUGGAGGCCAGGGGAUGAAUUUUUAAAGAUACAGUCUACAAGACUUAGCAAUGUUCUUGGAGGAAUCAGAAGAAUAGCAAGAAUACAAGGGGGUGGUAUGAGUUUGUCAGAGGCUGCACAAGAAGAGGUUAAAGGGAAAAUGCAUUGAGAAUGACCUUAAGGUUGUUGUUUACAAAAGUUCGAUUUUCCUAAUAGAAAAAUCUGUUGCAACUCAAAAUAAAGUUUGGUGAAGAAAAUUCUGUGACAUUGAAAUAUAUUUCCUUACCACAGAUGAAGAACAAUUCUGUAGACACUUUUAUCCACACUAGCAGCAUUUCUCUAGGGGUGGAAAUGUCUGUCUGUUGGUCCACCACUUUGAAUUCUGACUCUACUGAUCCUCUUAUUUUUCAUCUAGCACCAUCAGUAGGUCGAUAUUUUCACUUAGCCUGUGAAAUAUCUCAACUUUCUACACGAUGGACUGCCAUGAAAUUUUGUACAGACAUUUUAAUCGUCCCCAGUAGAUGAAUCCUACAGAUCUUGGUGAACCCCUGACCUUUCCUCUAGCGCCGCCAUGCGGUUGACAUUUGGAGUUUUGAGUGAAAUCUCAACAACUAUUGGAUUGAUUACCAUUAAAAUUGUUACAACAUUCAUGUCCCCCUCAAGAUAAAUUUAAUAACUUUGUGAUCCCCUGUCCAAUAAUUUGCUUUUAUGACUUAAUACUUGCAAAAAGAAUGACAUUCCCCUCAGCUGUACUUUGUGUUUAUUGGUAAUGUAAAUGUUUGCAUGUUAACACACUAAACCACGAUUUUGAAUGCGAUAAACAGAGCUGCUAGCUUGUCUGUCAACUCCUAGUCUUGUUGUGUCUAGAAAUGAAAAAAAUAAUGCAGAAACCAAAACUAAUACAACAAAACAAGAUGUUCUUUUAUACAUUGCUUCAGGAAAAGAGAUGCCUUUUUUAAUUUUGGUUUUGUGCAUUCCCUUUCAAAUCCAUCUAUAUGGAGGUAGCAUUAGUAUUAAGGAUUGUAGGAAGAUUUGCGGCCGGAAAGAAGCCAGUUCAGAUCAAGACCAUCUGGUAGCCUGAGAAGAGAAUGAGAAACGCUCUCUCAUCUCUCUACAGCUGACAUUAAUAAGCCCCAUUUGCUCCUGAGGAGCUGUUCAGAGGCCAAAAGAAGAAGCCUGGUUGUACUGAGCAGCUCCAAAAAUUGAACACUGCAAGUGAGAAUCAGAGUGCCGCAGGGGGAAAAAAGCAAGUUACACUGGAAAGCCUUCCUUGAGUAAAUAAACAUAAAAAAAAAAAUACUGUAGUUAAUUUUUGCUUGUAUUGCUCCACUAGGAUUCCUCCAAGAGUCUGUUUAUGUCUCCUGUUUAGGUUGUUGGAAUAGUUCAUGCAGACUAUAGAAUAGUCAAAACACUGCAAGCCAUUUUAGGUGAAUUACAGUAUUAUUCUCAUCUAAUAGCUGGCUUAAAACGCUAAUCACGCAUGCUAAUUCCUGGCUUAGUGUGCCUACGGAUUAGAAGCCCAUGUAAUGUACAGUUAAUCCCAUAUACACUGCACUGAAAAUCCGCCUAGAAGCGUUUCUCAUCAUCAAAAAUUUUCCCUCUAAUUAUGUCUCUAGAGAGAAGCUCAACUCCCACUUGAGAUGAGUUUGUCCAUGUAGUAUUCCAGGUUCACAUGCAUGUAGAAUACAGAACACAUGCCCUUGAUCAAGCUCUCAGCUAUUGCAUUACUGUGUAUCCUGACCCAUAGAUUGGAAUUGAUGGACACUCUAUUACACAUUAUGCAGCUGGUAAUAGAAUUGAAUCCACCAUAAGGCAGAAAAUUUCUA